UUCCAGACUCCUACGGGAGGCAGCAGUGGGGAAUAUUGGGCAAUGGGCGCAAGCCUGACCCAGCAACGCCGCGUGAAGGAAGAAGGCUUUCGGGUUGUAAACUUCUUUUGACAGGGAAGAGCAGAAGACGGUACCUGUCGAAUAAGCCACGGCUAACUACGUGCCAGCAGCCGCGGUAAUACGUAGGUGGCAAGCGUUGUCCGGAGUGACUGGGUGUAAAGAGUUGCGUAGGUGGCAUAAUAAGUAGCUAGUGAAAUCUGGUGGCUCAACCAUUCAGACUAUUAGCUAAACUGUUAAGCUCGAGACCGUUAGGGGUAACUGGAAUUUCUAGUGUAGGGUUGAAAUCCGUAGAUAUUAGAAGGAACACCAAUAGCGUAGGCAGGUUACUGGGACGGUUCUGACACUAAGGCACGAAAGCGUAGGGAGCAAACGGGAUUAGAUACCCCAGUAU
rnacentral:rRNA from 1 species